rnacentral:rRNA from 1 species
GACAGAGGGUGCAAACGUUGCUCGGAAUCACUGGGCGUAAAGGGCGUGUAGGCGGGCAGGAAAGUCAGAUGUGAGAUCCCUGGGCUCAACCCAGGAACUGCAUUUGAAACUCCCUUUCUUGAGUGUCGGAGAGGAAAGCGGAAUUCCUGGUGUAGAGGUGAAAUUCGUAGAUAUCAGGAGGAACACCGGUGGCGAAGGCGGCUUUCUGGACGACAACUGACGCUGAGACGCGAAAGCGUGGGGAGCAAACGGG